rnacentral:tmRNA from 1 species
GGGGGUGUAAUGGCUUCGACUAGGAAAUAAAGUAUUAGUUGCAUGCAGAGGAUAUCGGUUGGCCUCUUAAAAAAACCGAUAAAACAUUAGAUGCUAAAUCUAAAAAAAUUAGUGUUGAUUUCUCACAAGGAAACGCACUAGCUUUAGCUGCUUAAUCUUAACCGGUUAAGUUGCUCGAUAACCAAAGUCUAGGCUAAGGGGCUUUGAAUUAUCGUCAUCAAUCUUGGUAUGAUUAAAGCUUCGACCGUUUCUAGGGGCUUUCUUCGAGACUAAAUGAAACAAGUCAAUUCUAGUGCUGCGUUUUCCAUCGGAGUUGACUCAUUUUGAAAGCGCUAAGCAUGUAGAGAUUAUUAUGGAGUUUGCUUAGGACGAGAGUUCGAUUCUCUCCACCUCCAUCA